CCCUACGGGGGGCAGCAGUGGGGAAUAUUGCACAAUGGGGGGAACCCUGAUGCAGCGACGCCGCGUGAGUGAAGAAGUAUUUCGGUAUGUAAAGCUCUGUCAGCAGGGAAGAAGAAAGACGGUACCUGACCAAGAAGCCCCGGCUAACUACGUGCCAGCAGCCGCGGUAAUACGUAGGGGGCAAGCGUUAUCCGGAUUUACUGGGUGUAAAGCGAGUGCAGGCGGUUCAAUAAAUCUGAUGUGAAAGCCUUCGG
rnacentral:rRNA from 1 species